GUGCUCGCUUCGGCAGCACACACACUCCAAUUGGAACGAUCCAGAGAAGAUUAGCGUGGCCCCUGCGCAAGGAUGGCAUGGGAAUUCAUGAAGCGUUCCAUGUUUUU